UACAGAGGUGACAAACGUUGUCCGGAAUUAUUGGGCGUAAAGGGCGCGUAGGUGGUUGAGUAAGCCAGGUGUGAAAGCUCUGGGCUUAACCCAGGAAUUGCAUCUGAUACUGCUCAGCUUGAGUACGGUAGAGGAGGGUGGAAUUCCCAGUGUAGCGGUGAAAUGCGUAGAUAUUGGGAGGAACACCGGUGGCGAAGGCGGCCCUCUGGACCGAAACUGACACUGAAGCGCGAAAGCUAGGGGAGCAAACAGG
rnacentral:rRNA from 1 species